GGGUCAGUAGGCUGGUCGUGUCACCGGUACGUACUGGUCUCACUGAUUCCUCCUUCCUGAAGAACCGUAACGCCAUUAAUUUGGUGUUGCGGGGAAACAGGACUGGUACUUUGAAAAAAUUAGAGUGUUUAAAGCAAGCUAACGCUUGAAUACAUUAGCAUGGAAUAAUGAAAUAGGACGAUCGAUCCUAUUUUGUUGGUUUCUAGGAUUGACGUA
rnacentral:rRNA from 1 species